ACCUUUUGAAGGGCAAAGUGGUCGUGCUGAUUCAUAUCCAACCUCAUUUAUGGAUUUGAUGAGAGCAACUUCGUAUCCAUAUCAAAGAGGUUUCUAAUCUACAAGGUGACUUGGAGUUUGUGGAAUUUAAAACUAUAAAGGAUGUCUAGAGAGACAAUUAUUCAAAAUUCAUUUUGUUCUGUUUUCUUUCUUUGGCAGAAUAUAAAUCCAGGGAUAUUUUUUGUUCAAGACUUUUUUUCUUUUAAGUUUACAUACAAUAACUCAGAGUUUUAGCUUUAGUUUUUUUUGUUGAUUGUGUUUUUAUUCAUAGUGAAUUAGUUACUCUUUUAUGCCUUCAUAUAUGUUAGCAAGGAUACUCCACUCUCUGAUACAUAGCAGCAGCAAUAACAACGUAUAGCAACAAAAAAAUUUCACCGAAAGAAUAAAAUUUGUAACCAAGCAUGCAAUUGUGAUUAAAUCAUGGGCCGUAUUUAAUAGUGUUUGAUUUUGUUUGCUUACUCUUAUAAGUUUGAAUAUGUUGAUUUUGUUGCACUUUAUGUUUCUGGAAUAGUUUCAUAUUAAUAUUUUGCUAGCAUUGCUUCAAUGGCAACAAGUACCGGUUCUUAUAAAAAAAAAUAAUAUGUUGGCAAUGAUUUUCUUUGAA